GGAGGGGUGCAAGCGUUAAUCGGAAUUACUGGGCGUAAAGCGCACGCAGGCGGUUUGUUAAGUCAGAUGUGAAAUCCCCGGGCUCAACCUGGGAACUGCAUCUGAUACUGGCAAGCUUGAGUCUCGUAGAGGGGGGUAGAAUUCCAGGUGUAGCGGUGAAAUGCGUAGAGAUCUGGAGGAAUACCGGUGGCGAAGGCGGCCCCCUGGACGAAGACUGACGCUCAGGUGCGAAAGCGUGGGGAGCAAACAGGAUUAGAUACCCUGGUAGUCCACGCCGUAAACGAUGUCGACUUGGAGGUUGUGCCCUUGAGGCGUGGCUUCCGGAGCUAACGCGUUAAGUCGACCGCCUGGGGAGUACGGCCGCAAAGUUA
rnacentral:rRNA from 1 species